rnacentral:rRNA from 1 species
CACGACUCUCGGCAACGGAUAUCUUGGCUCUUGCAUCGAUGAAGAACGUAGCGAAAUGCGAUACUUGGGGUGAAUUGCAGAAUCCCGUGAACCAUCGAGUCUUUGAACGCAAGUUGCGCCCGAGACCUUUAGGUUGAGGGCACACCUGCUUGGGCGUCAUGC